ACAAGACCGGAGGAAGGUGGGGAUGACGUCAAGUCAUCAUGGCCCUUACGGCCUGGGCUACACACGUGCUACAAUGGUCGGUACAAAGGGUUGCCAAGCCGCGAGGUGGAGCUAAUCCCAUAAAACCGAUCGUAGUCCGGAUCGCAGUCUGCAACUCGACUGCGUGAAGUCGGAAUCGCUAGUAAUCGUGAAUCAGAAUGUCACGGUGAAUACGUUCCCGGGCCUU
rnacentral:rRNA from 1 species